AAUCCUUCUUUGAGUCUAAAAAACAUAGGCCAUCAAUAUUACUGAAGUUAUGAAUACAAAAACUAUGAAGACCUAAACUGCAACCCUUAUAUAAUUUCCACAGCUGACCAAAAGCCAGAGAAGCAUAACUAAUCAAGGUCAAUGACCAUAGAAAAGUCAAUUUGUGUGUUAAUCUCAUUUGAAGAUAUAUUAUACUCAUGAGCCAUACCUUCAUUAAGCUUAAAAACUGACACAAUUUUCAUACGUUUAAAUCAAGAAACUUCAAUAUAUAUACCCAGCCAGGUUUAUACUAUGGGCAAUGCUCAGAAAUUUGUGAAUCAAAUUUCAAGUACAAUGUACUUGAAUUAGUACCAUCAAAACGUUUUGAAAAUUGAUCAAUAUCUAUAUUA
rnacentral:lncRNA from 1 species